rnacentral:rRNA from 1 species
ACUGCGAAUGGCUCAUUAUAUAAGUUAUCGUUUAUUUGAUAGUACCUUACUACUUGGAUAACCGUGGUAAUUCUAGAGCUAAUACAUGCUAAAAAUCCCGACUUCGGAAGGGAUGUAUUUAUUAGAUUAAAAACCAAUGCCCUCUGGGCUCUCUGGUGAUUCAUGAUAACUUCUCGAAUCGCAUGGCCUUGCGCCGGCGAUGGUUCAUUCAAAUUUCUUCCCUAUCAACUUUCGAUGUUUGGGUAUUGGCCAAACAUGGUCGCAACGGGUAACGGAGGGUUAGGGCUCGACCCCGGAGAAGGAGCCUGAGAAACGGCUACUACAUCCAAGGAAGGCAGCAGGCGCGCAAAUUACCCAAUCCCGACACGGGGAGGUAGUGACAAUAAAUACUGAUACAGGGCUCUUUCGGGUCUUGUAAUUGGAAUGAGUACAAUUUAAAUCCCUUAACGAGGAACAAUUGGAGGGCAAGUCUGGUGCCAGCAGCCGCGGUAAUUCCAGCUCCAAUAGCGUAUAUUAAAGUUGUUGUGGUUAAAAAGCUCGUAGUUGAACCUUGGGCCUGGCUGGCCGGUCCGCCUCACCGCGUGUACUGGUCCGGCCGGGCCUUUCCCUCUGUGGAACCUCAUGCCCUUCACUGGGCGUGACGGGGAAACAGGACUUUUACUGUGAAAAAAUUAGAGUGCUCCAGGCAGGCCUAUGCUCGAAUACAUUAGCAUGGAAUAAUGAAAUAGGACGUGCGGUUCUAUUUUGUUGGUUUCUAGGACCGCCGUAAUGAUUAAUAGGGACAGUCGGGGGCAUCAGUAUUCAAUUGUCAGAGGUGAAAUUCUUGGAUUUAUUGAAGACUAACUACUGCGAAAGCAUUUGCCAAGGAUGUUUUCAUUAAUCAGGAACGAAAGUUAGGGGAUCGAAGACGAUCAGAUACCGUCGUAGUCUUAACCAUAAACUAUGCCGACUAGGGAUCGGACGAUGUAAAUAAUUGACUCGUUCGGCACCUUACGAGAAAUCAAAGUGUUUGGGCUCCAGGGGGAGUAUGGUCGCAAGGCUGAACUUAAGG